rnacentral:rRNA from 1 species
GAUGAACGCUAGCGGCAGGCUUAAUACAUGCAAGUCGAGGGGUAACAGGUGUAGCAAUACAUGCUGACGACCGGCGCACGGGUGCGUAACACGUAUGUAAUCUGCCCUUAACUGGGGAAUGGCUCGAAGAAAUUCGAAUUAAUACCCCAUAACAUAAUGAAAUGGCAUCAUUUUAUUAUUAAAGCUCCGGCGGUUAAGGAUGAACAUGCGUCUGAUUAGCUAGUUGGUGAGGUAACGGCUCACCAAGGCAACGAUCAGUAGGGGGUCUGAGAGGAUGAUCCCCCACACUGGAACUGAGACACGGUCCAGACUCCUACGGUAGGCAGCAGUAAGGAAUAUUGGACAAUGGCGGAAACGCUGAUCCAGCCAUGCCGCGUGAAGGAUGAAGGCCCUAUGGGUUGUAAACUUCUUUUGAACGGGAGAAACCUUGAUACGUGUAUCGAGUUGAUAGUACCGUUAGAAUAAGGGACGGCUAACUUCGUGCCAGCAGCCGCGGU